GUGGGGGGUGGGGUGAUUUCAAAAGAGAGGGUGGCUGAGAAAAAGCGUUGGAAAGGGGCAACGGAGCCCAUAUUCUCUGAGCCCCUUCUGCGUGCCAGGCGCGCACACCUCAGGGAAGCUGCUGUCCCCUGGAGAUGGCCUUGUGACAUUCUCGCGCCAGGGUCGGACAGGCUGUACAAGGGAAAUAGCAUCGUCUGCGUUUUAUUGAUGAGGAAACUAAGGCUCGGAGAGAUUUCGUGACUGGCCCAAUUCAUCAUGUUAGAAAGUAGCAGAACUGAGCCUCCAGCCCUAACACGUCUGACGCCGUGUCUGAUUCCAAAAUCCACUGCAAUUGGUUCAUGACAAGUUCACACCCAUUAUGAACACAUUAAAUAUAUUAUAACUGUUUGAGCAUGUCA